AGAGUUUGAUCCUGGCUCAGAUAGAACGCUGGCGGCAGGCCUAACACAUGCAAGUCGAACGGUAACAGGAAGCAGCUUGCUGCUUCGCUGACGAGUGGCGGACGGGUGAGUAAUGUCUGGGAAACUGCGUGAUGGAGGGGGAUAACUACUGGAAACGGUAGCUAAUACCGCAUAAUGUCGCAAGACCAAAGAGGGGGACCUUCGGGCCUCUUGCCAUCGGAUGUGCCCAGAUGGGAUUAGCUUGUUGGUGGGGUAACGGCUCACCAAGGCGACGAUCCCUAGCUGGUCUGAGAGGAUGACCAGCCACACUGGAACUGAGACACGGUCCAGACUCCUACGGGAGGCAGCAGUGGGGAAUAUUGCACAAUGGGCGCAAGCCUGAUGCAGCCAUGCCGCGUGUAUGAAGAAGGCCUUCGGGUUGUAAAGUACUUUCAGCGGGGAGGAAGGGAGUAAAGUUAAUACCUUCGG
rnacentral:rRNA from 1 species